CAGCACUGUCGACCAAUUCACCGAGUGUCGAAUAUGCUUUGGCGAAGGCAGCUUCUAGCCUUGUCCACAACAGAACCCACCGACACGCUGACCUAUAGCCAGACUCCUGUGACGAGAGGGCGGGCCACCUCCACGGGGACGUUCUCCGUGGAUCCGAAGGUACGCCCCUGUGGCCCCAAAACGACAGACAUCUGACCUGCGUAACCAGUUCCCGAAGCGAAGCGCUCGCCGAUCACGUCCAGUGGAGGGCUGAACAAGGAUCUUCUCAGGCAGAGAAGUUCCGCGGAUGCGCUUACGAGGGUUAUAGGCCAGACCAUUCGUGAAACUACUGGUAAUUCAUCGUUCAGCUUGGCUCCAGUGAUGGCGACCUUGCCAGAACGUGGGGCUCUCCCUCCUCCACUUCGCUCAGAACAAGCGUACCAUUGUCGCAGCCGGCAGUACGAGGACUUCAAUCACGGUGAGGUCGGAACAAGGAAACGGAUCUACUCAGGAAACCUUGGCAACGUGUUGCUCGAGACGGCAACGACUGCGGACAGUUACAAUGCCGUGUAAAGAUUCCACAACCACUGCUGACAUGGAAGCGUUGCAUCACCAACAAGCUUGACGGAGCAGCAGAAGGGCGAUUCGUCGUGGGAUGUCGACAUAAAGAGGAGGAAGCAGCAGCUCGAGCGCCAUCGCAGGAGGAAAUCCAAUCCAAUCCAGCGGCCCCACUGACAGCGCCACCUCAAGCGACAGUAAGGCUGUCUGACUGUAUAAAGCUCCUUGGCAUCCAGCCUACCACUUUCGGUUUGCCCGGACACUGCCGUUGCGCGGACUUCACCUGAGGGUUUGUAUGUCGGAGCGAGGCCUUUGUGGCACGCCAACAACACGAUCAUCUAAUGAAUUAAAUUUACUUCCCUUUGUAAAAA
rnacentral:lncRNA from 1 species